rnacentral:rRNA from 1 species
GGGCCCGCACAAGCGGUGGAGCAUGUGGUUUAAUUCGAUGAUACGCGAGGAACCUUACCAGGGCUUAAAUGUAACGGGACAGAUCUAGAGAUAGAUCCUUCUUCGGACUCAUUACAAGGUGCUGCAUGGUUGUCGUCAGCUCGUGCCGUGAGGUGUCAGGUUAAGUCCUAUAACGAGCGCAACCCCCAUCGUUAGUUGCCAACGAGUAAUGUCGGGAACUCUAACGAAACUGCCGGUGCAAACCGUGAGGAAGGUGGGGAUGACGUCAAAUCAUCACGGCCCUUACGUCCUGGGCUACACACGUGCUACAAUGGUCGGUACAGAGAGCAGCCACUACGCGAGUAGGAGCAAAUCUUCAAACCCUAUCUCAGUUCGGAUCGGAGUCUGCAACUCGACUCCGUGAAGUUGGAAUCGCUAGUAAUCGCAUAUC